rnacentral:rRNA from 1 species
UGGGCCUACGGGGCGCAGCAGUGGGGAAUAUUGCACAAUGGGGGAAACCCUGAUGCAGCGACGCCGCGUGAGUGAAGAAGUAUUUCGGUAUGUAAAGCUCUAUCAACAGGGAAGAUAAUGACGGUAACUGAGUAAGAAGCCCCGGCUAACUACGUGCCAGCAGCCGCGGUAAUACGUAGGGGGCAAGCGGUAUCCGGAUUUAUUGGGAUUAAAGGGUGCGCAGGCGGUCUGUUAAGUCAGCGGGCAAAGCCCGGGGCUCAACCCCGGCCCGCCGGUGAAACUGGCAGUC